AGUGGAGCAUGUGGUUUAAUUCGAAGCAACGCGAAGAACCUUACCAGGCCUUGACAUGCAGAGAACUUUCCAGAGAUGGAUUGGUGCCUUCGGGAACUCUGACACAGGUGCUGCAUGGCUGUCGUCAGCUCGUGUCGUGAGAUGUUGGGUUAAGUCCCGUAACGAGCGCAACCCUUGUCCUUAGUUACCAGCACGUUAUGGUGGGCACUCUAAGGAGACUGCCGGUGACAAACCGGAGGAAGGUGAGGAUGACGUCAAGUCAUCAUGGCCCUUACGGCCUGGGCUACACACGUGCUACAAUGGUCGGUACAAAGGGUUGCCAAGCCGCGAGGUGGAGCUAAUCCCAUAAAACCGAUCGUAGUCCGGAUCGCAGUCUGCAACUCGACUGCGUGAAGUCGGAAUCGCUAGUAAUCGUGAAUCAGAAUGUCACGGUGAAUACGUUCCCGGGCCUU
rnacentral:rRNA from 1 species